UCUUAUGGAUUAACAAAGAAAGUGGUUUCUUGAGAUGGAAUCUACUCCUGGUGAAGAUGCUAUAAA
rnacentral:pre_miRNA from 1 species